rnacentral:misc_RNA from 1 species
UACGGAGGGUGCAAGCGUUGUCCGGAUUUAUUGGGUUUAAAGGGUGCGUAGGCGGUUCUUUAAGUCAGAGGUGAAAGUCUUCGGCUCAACCGGAGGAAUGCCUUUGAUACUGAGGAACUUGAGUACAGUUGAGGUAGGCGGAAUUGACAGUGUAGCGGUGAAAUGCAUAGAUAUUGUCAAGAACACCGAUUGCGAAGGCAGCUUACUAAGCUGAAACUGACGCUGAGGCACGAAAGUGUGGGGAUCAAACAGG